rnacentral:rRNA from 1 species
UACGAACCGUGCGAACGUUGUUCGGAUUCACUGGGCUUAAAGGGCGCGUAGGCGGUUUUUUAAGUCUGGGGUGAAAUCCUCUCGCUCAACGAGAGAACUGCCCUGGAUACUGGAGACCUCGAGGGAGGUAGGGGCAUGUGGAACUUCCGGUGGAGCGGUGAAAUGCGUAGAUAUCGGGAGGAACACCUGUGGCGAAAGCGGCGCACUGGACCGCUACUGACGCUGAGGCGCGAAAGCUAGGGGAGCAAACAGG